rnacentral:rRNA from 1 species
UACGAAGGGGGCUAGCGUUGUUCGGAAUUACUGGGCGUAAAGCGCACGCAGGUGGCUGAGUCAGUCGAUUGUGAAAGCCCUGGGCUUAACCUGGGAAUUGCAGUCGAUACUACUCAGCUAGAGUAUGGGAGAGGGCAGUGGAAUUCCCGGUGUAGCGGUGAAAUGCGUAGAUAUCGGGAGGAACAUCAGUGGCGAAGGCGGCUGCCUGGCCCAAUACUGACACUCAGGUGCGACAGCGUGGGGAGCAAACAGG